rnacentral:rRNA from 1 species
GCCAGCAGCCAUAUCAACUGAAGCUCAGCAGGUGUGAGCCUAGCCAGUACCUGGAUGGGAGACCUCCUGGGAAAAACUAAGGUUGUUGCUGGAA